CCCUAAAUCUUUUCCCCCUACAGCCGCCUUCCCAAGCUCCCCAUCCCCUCCACUCCCUCGACAAUGGUGGCGGCGGCGCCCUCUGGUGGCGGAGGAGGAGGGGGGAGAUGGUGGCAGCGGCGCCCUCUGGUGGCGUAGGAGGAGUGUGGAGAUGGUGGCGCGGCGGCGACCUUCCCCUCACGCAUCCCAUCCCCCCUCGUCAUCCCGGAUCCCACCGGACCCGAGGCGUGCGGGCGCGGCAGCGACCUGCAAGGGAAGGGCGACGCUCGAAUCGAUCCAGCCAUGGAUCGGUCCCUGCGGGAGAAAGAGAAAAUGAGGGCCUCCGUGCUCAACAGGAGGAGCCGGGGUUGCUGAUCUGGCCGGCCCAGAUCCACACGCCUCCUCCUUCGGCCACCUCGCCCCACCAGCUUCCAGCGCCGUGGAUACGACGAAGAUGGAGGGCAGCAAGUGAGAGGGAGCAAGAGAAGAGGUGAAUCGAGGGAGUGAAAGAAGGAUCUCACAGGGGAAGCGGUGUAUCCUCGUCUCAUCCCUGGCUGCACCUCUUCUGAUGCCAUGGCACCAGUGGUGGCUCCUCGAUGGAGCACCUCCUUCCAUGACGGCAUCACCAGCGGCUCUUGCUCGACGCCACGACACACAACAUCGAGGCCACCCCUGAUGCUCAGGCUGAUGCUUCUUCGCUUGAUGCCGAAGAAAAGGAUGAUCAGAUUCAGACGCCCAAGAACAACAGCUACUAUGAAUAUUAUGAUUGAGCGACUGCUUGGCGAUGUCAUCGUCAGAGGCUCAAGCCUCCUCCCUGGACAAGGCACUCGUGCUAGGCGGCGGCGAUCUGUGCGCUGGUUCAAGAGGCGGUAAGACGGUCGCAAGAAUGCCAAGCUUUUCAGCUGUGGCAUCAUGCAAUAAUGGAAUUGAGCAUCCUGGCCAAAACAUAAAGGACAACGAAUAUGCAAGGUUGGUGACACCAGCUGAACAUGCAACAGCUGACAAGAAAUUUUGCCUGAGCAACCAAAGUUAAGACACUUCAUUUGGUGAAUGAAAGAUUUGCUUGGAGCUUCCAUCUUAUAUUAGCAUCUUAUAUCUUCGUGAAAUUUGGAGCCCCUUUGCCUUUGAAAAUGGUAGCGGUACUCUCUCUGCUGUGGCUGCGUGUUCGACCGGCCAGCCAAGGAUCUCCAACAAGCAUGUGCGCCUACUCUCCUUGCCCUUAAUUCCUGCCACAACAGCAGCUCCUGUGUAGUGUGAGCCAGAGAACUACUACACUAAUCAUGUUCCUGGCCUAGCAUGUGACAGUGGUGCCGCGAGGAUUUGCUGACGUGGGAGGAGGGGCCCGACCCAGAUGGCGGCCACCAGUAGGUCACACACUUAUUCAGCUCGCCGUUUGGUUACUCUGAUGGCUUCUCUAAGGUAUCUUCUCGUGCAGCUUCACUCUUGCUUGUGUGUCUCGCGUGAAAAAGUAAGCUACCUGGCACUUGCUCUACUCUGCUUUAGCAGGCGCUCGCAGAGGAGGCCAAGGGAUACAUGAUACUGGUAAUUUACUAAUGAUCCAUCUUAGUGGAAUGCUUUUGUUGUAGAUAUUUUCAUUGGUUGUCCUUUCAUUUUAUUUAUAUUCAUGGCUGGAUGGUGCCUUCCACUAUGCUUCUUCACUGAAAAGGUGUUUCGCAUAUGUGUACUUGCUUGAGAAUGGAAUGAUCUCAGAAUUCUGUUGAAAACAAAACUUAGUUAUUUCAGCAUGCAUAGUGUUUGGCUAUAGAGAUUGAGUGCUUCACAUAUCCGAUGCCAUCUCGGAAUAAUCUCAGACCUGUUUAAAUAACUUAGUGUUUGGCUAAGGAGUCCACAUUGAACGCCACAUAUCCGAUGCCAACACACCGAGGUGAGCUUCAGCAAACUCUCUCUCUCUCUCUCUCCAAUCAGACAUGUGAAUAUUUACCAGAGUGCUUCAAGAUCGAUCCGACGAAAGCCGUCCACUGCCACUCUGCUGUUGGGACUAAUUUGGACGGGAAUGGUGAUUUCAUGGUUGAUUAUGAUUACUUGGUUGUUGCUCUUGGAGUUACUGUGAAUACAUUCAACACUCCUGGUGUGAUGGGGCAUUGCCACUUUCUGAAGGUCAAAUCCUUAAUUGGCAUUGUGUGUCUCUUUACUGUUCUGCUAUUUCUCAUGUUUCAAUCCUAAGAUGUAAGUUACAGUUUAAUUUCCUGCUAAAUCUUGAGAUAUAUGGUAUUGAUACUUUAGGUUAUUUUACCGUACAGUAUUAGUCAUAUCUUGUGCUUACAGCCUCACAUUGUAAAUGUCAGGUCAUGGAGGAUGCCCAAAAGAUUCGGAAGAGCGUGAUAGACUACUUUGAAAAGGCGUCACCUCCUAACCUCAGUGAAGAGGAGAGAAGGAAGAUCCUUCACUUUGUGAUUAUCGGUGGUGGACCUACUGGGGUUGAAUUUGCGGUGGAGUUGCAUGAUUUUCUUGUCGAAGAUCUGGUGAAGCUAUAUCCUGCAAUUAAAGAAUUUGUGAAGAUAACAAUUAUGCAAUCAGGAGAACAUACAAUGAGGGUUGAACGUUCCUGCAGUAAUAACCUUAGUUUUGGGCAAGAUGAUCAAGGAGUAGCGAAACUUUAGCAGUCAUCUUUGGCUUCACCAUCUUCCUCCCCUGAUCAUGCAUCUAUUUUAGAUCAUAUAAUUAUGCUAUAUCAUAUAUAUUGUUUAGUUCAGACUUGUGCAUGUGCGUCCAUUGGCAUUGAUUUAUACAGAGAUAUUGCAUGAUUUGUACAUAAAAGGAGUACGGAUGAUCUAAGAAUAAAUGUUCAAAUAAAGUUAGUAGUGAGAUUUAGGUAAAGGUUACCUGCACUGUUCUGUUUUAUGUAGAUUCUAAGCUGCAAAAUCAUACAUGGCCCUGUUAGUAGUUUGUCUGAGUUGUGAGUUUACGCAUUUUCCCUUGGAA
rnacentral:rRNA from 1 species